GAGCUUUUGGUUUGAGGAGUUUGUUUGAGGAGCAGAAGUAGUCAGAAGUAGACUUCAAGAAAAACACCGACUUCAUGUUUUGUUGUUGAGCAUCGACUCUAACAUAAGAGACACAAGUAUUCUGCUGCUUAACAGAGAUUUUCCAAAGAAACUUACAUUCUUAAAAAAAACUCAAUCUUUCCUACAGGUUGACACCCACAUGGCUGAACAACUGGUUGGGUUAACCGAACACAGUCUAGAUAUCAUCUUAUCUAAAUAAAAGCGAUAUUGUGAUCGCCAUCAACUGAAAUUUCAGCCCUGCUGCACUACAGCUGCUGUGUGUGGCCUUCCACGACUUUUUAGGGCCACUUUUUCCAACCGUGUUUCAUAAAUAUCAGUGAGUGUAGAGUUGUUCCAAUUCCGAUACCAGUAUCGGAAAUUGCUCAGAUACUGCUGAAAAUGCUGACAUCGGUGUCGGCGAGUACUGGAGUCCAGGCACCGGUUCGAUAUCACAUAAUUUAUUAAAUAAGUAAUUUAUUUACUGUUAGCUCUGUUCUUUUUAAAUUUAAUUUUAUUUAAAAAUAUUGUGGCUGCACUUUAAUUUUUUUUAAAUAAUUAUUCCUAGAUUUAUUUAGUUAAAUUACAUUAGCUGUUUUUUUAUACUGUUCUUUUCAAAAAUAAAUGUCUUGAAUUUAUUUGUAUUGUACAAAGAGUUUAACCUGAGCCAGACCUUACCACAAUGAUAACCGUAUCACAGUCAUGUUGGCCUGAUAUGAUAUAUUUUACAAGACCGAGCCCUCGGCUGACACCUUUGAUUUCAAAGUAAGAUCUGCUGAUAAUAGCUUUGGUGUCAUCUGUCUAUUUCAGAGGAGUAGAGACGAUGAACCCAGAAAUCUAAAACUACUCGCUUGCUCUACCUCCUGAUGAUUGAUUGCAAGUGACUGAUGUUUUUUUAUUGGCCUCUCUCUAAUAAAACCAGAUAUUCUUAAGUUUUCAACUUAUCUGUAAUCAACAAUUAUUUCACUUUGUGUGAGGUGGAUCUAGUUUCACUUACUGAAUCAAAUUAAGAGAGAAGGAGAUUCUCACUUUUUGAGCUGCACCUGUGUAUUCCUGAAUGACUGUUAUCUGUCCAACCAGUAGGUGGUGUUAUACUGCAGAAAAAUGUUAAUCCUCAUAGUUUUGACCUGUAUUUCUUAAGCAAUUAAGCGGUUGCAGCCAAAAGACAUCUUUUUGGACUAGAAACAAACUUGGACUUCGUGUAAAAUGUGGUGCUCAGCUUUGUGUUUUAAGAUGUAUUAAUGUGUUUUUUUUUUUUAGACUGAAAUGGUGCCAUGACUGUUGAACCUGAUAUAAAAUAUUCAUUUUCUCUUUUUAACAGCGACAUGAAAAUCACAUCUUAAGUCUGAAAAAAAAAAAGGUUGAAAACAAAAAUCUGAAAAUAUCACCCGACUCUGAGCCUUUCCUUACUUUUAUUGUUUCUUUAGGGGUCCUCUCGUGAUCUUUCUCUAUUUGUUUUUGAAUGUAUGAUAUGUUGAAUGCAAUGUUUAGAGAUGGGAGAGUUAUAAUAAAGAGGUAUCCUUGGUAGAGCCUGAUACUGUUGAUUCAAAAUGUGUUAAUUUUAUGAAAAUAAGGUUUUUCUUGGCUACAUUUAUGGAUGCUUUGUACUCUUCAAACUCUUUAUAACUAGCCAAGAACAAAGACUGAGGUUCAGUGUCAACCUGUUUAAGAUGCCAUGAAAGAUGCCACUAACUCCAAAAAGGACCAGAGGGUUUCCAAAGUGGCUUAACUUCAAUCAGCAGUUAUUUAUUAAAAACUUGUUCUUGACAAAAUGAAUUAAAUGUCACUGAAAUAUUUAUACACAUGCCUGUAAUUGUUGACAAGUUAACUUGGUUAUUGUAGCUGUACCUAACCACUAGAGGGCGACAAACCGAAACGCAGACGUGUGCUUUUAUCCCAGAUUUAGAAAGUUCUGACUUAUUUAAAAAAAAAAAAAAAAUUAAAUAGUUUUUAAUGUCACUGUUGUUAUUUCAUUUUUCUUAGCUGUCUAAUUUUGUUAGAUUGUUUACUCAAUAAAUAAAGCAUUAGUGGUCGCCUAAGGGGAAGAAACUGUGUUGUGACCCACUUCACCAGCGUCUUCAGUGGUUAAAAACCAGGAGGAUUUACUACAGGAGCUGUCAUAGUUCAGAAAACCACAAACAACUCUCACAAUGACAGCUGCAAACAAGCUUUUGUGCAGGUGCCCCUCUAUGAGCACCACUGCUGAGGACUUCCCAGAUGACAGGGGAUUUCAGCAACACCGCUCAGGUCGAGGUGGGAUUUUACCGUGUGUACAUGUGUACAUCUGUUAACAAACAUGUUUACAGCACUGAAGCUGUGGUGACACUGGGGUUAAGACUCAAUAGUACUCAAGAAAAACAACAAGAAACAAAUAAACAACUCGUCUCUACUGCAGUCCUAUACGCUCCCAUUUUCUGGAAAUUUAACUUAAUUAAACCAGUUUAUUUUUAUUUUUUAUUUGAGCAUUUACUGGUAUGGACGCACCAAUCCAACUUUUUAAUUCCUAUAUUCUGACAUCGAUGCCAUCAAUUCUGCUUUUGUGAAACAUUAACGAUUCUUGAAUCACUAUCACCAAAUAAGAACAUUUUUGCACCGUGUUCUUUCACAUUUACGUCUUACAUCAAAUUAAUAGUCUCUAUGCUUUGUGAUCAAAAAGUGAAACCAAGGUUUCGUUCAAUGAAAUAGAAACAGUACCUGACCCUUUGUGUGUACAGCCAGCCAGAUUAUAGCAGCCACAACCACCUCACUGCACCCUAUGACUGGGAUACGCAAUAGUGCUGCAGAGCGCUAAAGAUACGGUGCCAAUAAACACCGGGGAUGAGCCGAGGUUUAGCCACAUGUUUUCAAAUCUCCUCCCAGUGUAAAGUAGCCCUGACCCUCAUCUGUGUGGCUGCACACAGUAAAUGGAUUCAACACUUUUUCUAGUCUUUUGGCCACUCAGAGCACUUUUACCUUACAUUAGGGCUGCAAUUUUGACAAAUGUUGUCUCCGGCCGGUUUAACCGCUUGACUGUUUUUAGGGUUGAGUAUCCUGCUCCAGUGUGUUAACAGCAGGACCUGGGAUCGCACCCAAGAGCCUACCCUGCUCUACCAUUGAGCCGCAGCCGUCCCUUUGUAAAAGGCGCCAGGUUUGGUUGCACAGGGGAGCUAUUGUUGGUCUUUCACACAUACAGUAUAUGAAUGUUUGAUCACUUAUUUAGACACUACAGUAGGUAAACGGCGCAUGAACACACUUCAAGUUUUGUUAUGUGCAUUUGUCUUGCAAAGGAAAACAUAGCGAAGAAGCUGUAGGGGCCGUGGUUAUGUUGACUAAAACAGGUUGUUGGUCCUGUUAUCGUGCAGCCUGAGGUGUGUUUGGCGGUGCAUUUCAUCAGCAACAGCUUCCCAUCUUGAUGACUGCAAAAGUGAGCUAAUCACUUGAAGGCUAAAACUGCUUUUCAGUCAACUCUUUGUCAUAUCAUUUUUUGUCUCUUUUUAAAAAUCAAUUAGAAUCAAAGAGCGAGUUUGAUGUAAAAAAUAUAGGAUUCUAAUUUUAGGCCAGACCGUCCAACCCUAGACAUGCACGUCUGAGCCUUGUCCGAAGUCAAUUUACGACCUUUAUCUAGAUCUAUCAUAACAUUUCAGUCCCUUUACUUGAGUUCAUCAUUUAAACAUGCUAACCAAAAAUGCUGAUCACUGUAGUCAGGGUGCUUGGACUUAAAACUUUGAUAUGAAACCAGUUAAAGUUCAUUUUUAUUUUCUACUUGAUUCGAGCAUUUACUGGUAUGGAUGCACCAAUACAACGUUUUAAUUCCUAUAUUCUGACAUCGAUACCAUCAAUUCUGCUUUUGUGAAACAUUAACGAUUCUUGUGAACCACUAUCACCAAAUAAGAACAUUUUUGUGUUCUUUCACAUUUACGUCUUACAUCAAAUUAAUAGUCUCUAUGCUUUGUGCUAUUGUAAACAUGGGACAAACGCAGUUACCUUCACCGCUCUGCUGGGAAACAUUCUGUUGACUUGGCAUACGGCCUCAACUGAGACAUUAAUAAGAAGAAAGGCAAAUAAUGUUGAUGGUUCUAACUAGUAGGUACCGGUUCUCCUCAGGAACCGGUUUUCAAUUCCCAUCCCAAGCUCAAAUUAGCUUCCUUUGGACUGCUGAGCCUCUUUCCCUCCACUGAGCUGAACAGAUCCACACCAAGGAUGAGCCGUCCGGAUCGGCCCUUUGUCACCCAUAUCCAGUCUGGAUUCUUGGGUCAGUAUCUGGCUGAUACCCGAUACCAGGAUUGGAUCUAUGCAUCCUUACUUGCUCGUGCGGAAAAAGCCACUGAACACUGACCAAAUUGGACAUGCUGAUAACAGAAAUGACAGAAAAGUACGAGGAAAAGUUGAAGUAACUGGAGUCUGCUCGCUUCUCUUCCUCCUUUUUUUACAUACGGUCAUCUUUGAGUUAAUCUCUGCGCGACUGUGUUUGAUUUGCUCGUGUGCACUCGUCUCUCUCUCUCCCCGAAUGAAGUGAAAUGACUUACAUGUUCGUUUUUAUUUUAGAUUUUGACUGAUUUACUCAAAAGUAGCACAACAUCAGAAAAACCAGUGAGCUGCCAGUGAAAGAAGUGUCAAUAAAGAGGUUUCUGAACCCCUGAAUGUUUUGGGUUGGUCUCUGUGGAAAAGCUUACUGGACUUAGAGACACUACAGUCAUCUUGAUUUAUGGCUGAAUACAACAGUAACAUCAGAAGAUACAAUAUUUAUCUUUUGAUCCUCUUAUAGCAAACCUCUGGCAACCCAGCGUCUCAGACUGUGUAAGACAACUCGAAGAUGUGCUGUAAGUACACAGGUUUGGUGUUGCAUAUGUGAGUUAACAUCUGAGGUGGACACUGAUUUUGAGGAGGUCGUACAUUACUGCAGACUGCAGGUGUGAAUCCUUUGCAAAAACGUGCUUUACGUCUAUAUUGCUCUGAAAAAAUCUAACCACCAGCUGCAACCACACAGUGAUGAAAGCCGUCAACCCGAACCAGCUGUGCUGCACCCGCGGGUUUGAGCUUAGCAGCUGACAAAGGUCUUCAACACAACACACUGAGAGUUUUUCGCUUUUGGGAAUUCCUCUUGGUUUGUUUUCUUGUGGGUCUGGAGUUUUUUCACAUGUGGCCUGAAGAAAACUUGUAGCAUGUUCAAAAUACAGGGCUGCAGAAGCAUCAGUGUUUUCAUUAAGCCAUGGCGGCUGCUGGUCAUCACUGUAACUUAUAAUACCACACUUCAUAAAUACUCCAUAAAAAAUUUAUGCUGCGACUACAUGUGCAUGGGCUUUAGGUACUGGGAACUCGCUCCAUGUUUCUAAGAUUUGUGGAUUUGACGACGCACAUUUAUAUCUGUUCCACUUCUCAGCUCGUGACGGCGACUAAAAUCUUACAGAGUUUAACUUCAGUAAAAAUUUUGCAGUCCACAUAAACUUUUACUGAUCUGCCAGGACCUGCUGCUUCGGUGUAACAUCAUGUCACAUCAUGGGAGAAAUUUUCAUAUAAGAAGAAUAAAAGACACAUCUUAUCACUGGUAACAGUUCACUUUUGAGAGCCCAAAUGUCCCGAAAAUAAAAGCAGCCUUACUUUUGUUUAAAUCUUUUUUUAACAUUUGAAAAUAUUAAAAUCAGGGUUAAAAAUCAUUGGGAACUAUGAUCAAAAAGUGAAACCAAGGUUUCGUUCAAUGAAAUAGAAACAGUACCUGACCCUUUGUGUGUACAGCCAGCCAGAUUAUAGCAGCCACAACCACCUCACUGCACCCUAUGACUGGGAUACGCAAUAGUGCUGAAGAGCGCUAAAGAUAUGGUGCCAAUAAACACCGGGGAUGAGCCGAGGUUUGGCCACAUGUUUUCAAAUCUCCUCCCAGUGUAAAGUAGCCCUGACCCUCAUCUGUGUGGCUGCACACAGUAAAUGGAUUCAGCACUUUUUCUAGUCUUUUGGCCACUCAGAGCACUUUUACCUUACAUUAGGGCUGCAAUUUUGACAAAUGUUGUCUCCGGCAGGUUUAACCGCUUGACUGUUUUUAGGGUUGAGUAUCCUGCUCCAGUGUGUUAACAGCAGGACCUGGGAUCGCACCCAAGAGCCUACCCUGCUCUCCCAUUGAGCCGCAGCGCCAGGUUUGGUUGCACAGGGGAGCUAUUGUUGGUUUUUCACACAUACAGUAUAUGAAUGUUUGAUCACUUAUUUAGACACUACAGUAGGUAAACGGCGCACGAACACACUUCAAGUUUUGUUAUGUGCAUUUGUCUUGCAAAGGCAAACAUAGCUAAGAAGCUGUAGGGGCCGUGGUUAUGUUGACUAAAACAGGUUGUUGGUCCUGUUAUCGUGCAGCCUGAGGUGUGUUUGGCGGUGCAUUUCAUCAGCAACAGCUUCCCAUCUUGAUGACUGCAAAAGUGAGCUAAUCACUUGAAGGCUAAAACUGCCUUUCAGUCAACUCUUUGUCAUAUCAUUUUUUUUUCUCUUUUUAAAAAUCAAUUAGAAUCAAAGAGCGAGUUUGAUGUAAAAAAUAUAGGAUUCUAAUUUUAGGCCAGACCGUCCAGCCCUAGACAUGCAUGUCUGAGCCUUGUCCGAAGUCAAUUUACUGGGGCUGGUUGAAAUGGCUCUCCAACAUGGCGGUCACAAAAAGUUAACCGACAAGCAUCUGUGAUCGCCAAAAAAAUGCUUUAAUUCUUCUGAAAUCGCCCUUUAAUUAAUUUAUCGCAACUGAUGCCAAAAAGCUAAAUCCAGGUUUUUUCCC